CACGGGGGGAGCAAGCGUUGUUCGGAAUCACUGGGCGUAAAGGGCGUGUAGGCGGUCAGAUAAGUGAGAUGUGAAAUGCCUCGGCUCACCCGAGGACCUGCAUCUCAUACUGUUUGGCUUGAGUACGGGAGAGGAUGAGGGAAUUCCUGGUGUAGCGGUGAAAUGCGUAGAUAUCAGGAGGAACACCGGUGGCGAAGGCGCUCAUCUGGCCCGAUACUGACGCUGAGGCGCGAAAGCUAGGGGAGCAAAC
rnacentral:rRNA from 1 species